CUCCGUUAGUUUUGCAUAGUUGCGCUCCAAGAAGAAAUGCGUUGUGCAAAUCUAUGCAAAGCUAACGGUGGC
rnacentral:pre_miRNA from 11 species